UGGAUCUCACACGCUGCUGGACACUACCUGUCCUGUUCUAAGAAGCACGGUUAACCCCUGCAUGCCAGGUGAUAAUAGGUUCACGUCACGCACCGGCUGUCAAUCAGAAAGAUUUAUCGGAUGUGGUUAAACAGUUUACUCAGGAAUGGCGGACCCUGAGAGGAAGCUGGGAACAAUGAAAGGUGAGAAGGAGCCCGGGACAAGGAGCCGUCUAAUGAGGUCGUGGGAGAUCUUCCUGCAUCCCAAGACGCCAUUAUUUGUCUGCAGUGAGUGACGCCGUUAAUGUCAAAACCUCAGGAGCUAUAGAGACUUUAAACUUCAUAUCCCCAU